AAAAAAUUGCUCUGAAGUGGUGAAGUCCCAAUGAAAAUAACUAACAACAGCAGCAACAGAAGAAGCACAUAUGGAAAGCAGACAGUCAUGCUUGGAAGGUACUAUUUUAUGUGCUGGGUAUAACACUGAAAAAAGUGGAAAAUAUUUCGGUCUGCAUGGAAGAUAAUAAUGAAUCUAAAGAUGUUAUGACAGAUGUUACAGAGAAAGCUGAGAAGGCACUAUGAGAGAAUGCAGAGGGCUACACUUUUACCUAGAAAUUUGAGGAAAAGUCACAAUGAAUGAAGAAGUCACAAGAAGAAUAUGAGUCUUCUCAUUAAACAGCUCAUCAAAAAGAGAUUGCAAGCCCUUCAAUAUUCAUGUAUUAAAAAAAAAAAGGUCAAAGAACUCUGGCAGGAAGGAGAAGAAAAAGACCAAGAAAAAAGAAAGAAAUGAAAACAAAUAAGGGAUUUGAAGAAACUGUAAGCAUCCAAAGUCUGGCAUUAGAUUUGGCAACAGGUGAAUUUACUUUGGAAGGUAUUAAUUUUGUAAGUCAAAGCUAUUAAAAUCCAACUUCCUGUUUCAACUCUGGAAGGUAUAAAUGCACAGGUCUUUUGCUCUAGCUCUCCCUGGGGGCUGUGCUUUAUCCAACUAGUCUCACUCCCUUCAGUGCCUCAUAUUUAAAAUGCAAAACAGACUGGCCAAGACCUUUCCUUUAGUCUUGCCACAUACUGUGCGGAAGUCUUUGUCAAUGUCAGUCUUGUCUUCCUGGAUAAGUAUACAUAGCUCUACUAAAUGCACAAACCUACCUGUGGUGCCCAAAAUGUCUUAUGAUAAUUUUAAAUUUUAGGGAAAUGUUCAGUACCCUUUUGUGUCACAAUUCUGUGGGAAAUAAGUCAAUUGUUUUAAGUUAAGACAGCAUUAGCCAUUCUUUUUUUAAAUUUCUUUUUAAAAUUAUUUUUAUUUAUUUGAUAGAGACAGCUAGAAAUUGAGAGGAGCAGGGAGAUAAAGAGAAAGACAGAGAGACACCUGCAGCCCUGCUUUACCACUUGUGAAACUUCCCCCUGCAAGUGGGGACCAGGGGCUUGAACCCAGGUCUUUGCACAUUGUAAUGUUCACGUUCAGCCAGGUACACCACUGCCCGGCCCCGGCAUUAAUCAUUCUUAAUUCAUUUUACUUUUUCACAAUAUUUGAUUUAAAAAUAUCCUUUAAAUAUCAUGGAAUUAAUCCACUGUAUUUUCUUAAUAUGUAGAUUUGCCUGCUCUCUCUCUUUAAGAACUUUUUUGGACCCUCUCCAUUCUCAUCUUUAAAUCUCGGUUCUUUUCUAUUUUCUCUGCCAUCAGACUCAUUACAAAGAAUGGGCUAUCUACUGUAUGAUGCUAAUAAUUUUACUAGGGCUCUGUUUGUAGUUCUCUUACCCAACAUCACCACUCUUCUUCAUCACCCAUUGUUUCCCAUUCUAUAACCUGCUACUCAGAAACAGACAUGCUGAACUGCCCAUUUUAUAAAUCUCAUUCUUAGUCUAUCUUGUUUCUCCAAGUACUGCCUUAUUCCCCAUUCCUUUUGUCACAAAACUCUCCUAAAUAAUAUUUACACUUACUGCUUUAAAAUCAUUCAUCCCAGUUUCUCAGCCUUACUUCAGCGAGUCCUCAUCCCCUUCCCUACACUCCCUGCACCCCAAAAACACACUACUACCACCACUACCAUUCCAUGGAAGCUGCUUGGGUCAAGAGCACUAAGAUCCUCCACAUUGCUGAUUCUGAAGGUCACUGCUCUGCUGUCAUAUAAUUGGUCAGUUUCAACACUGGCAUAGUCAUUAGUUUCCUUCUCUUAGACACACUUUUCUCAUUGGACUUCUAAGACACAGUUACUCUUCUAGUUUCCUCUUAUUUAAGUGUCUACUUCUUAAUGUUAUUUUAUUUACUUAUUUUUGUGUAUGUCAUCACCUCUUCCAACUGUCAAUUUCCAAAGGCUUGGCAUUUGGUUUAUUUCUGUGUUUGCUUAUCCUCUAGAAAAUCUCACCUAGACUCAUAUCAAUAUGCUAAAUUUAGCAUAUAGCUCACAUGAAAGUGUGCCUACUUUGCCAUGUGUACAAUUCAUGUUUGAGUCCAGCCACUAACUCACUGGGGGGGAGCUUUAUUUCUGCCGUCUCCUCUCCUCUCCUCUCC